CCCGAAGAUCGUCAAGGCAAAGUACGACAACUAUAUCUGCAUCACCGGUAGUGGUAGCGGGGCUAAACCUACAUAUCUACGCACAUAUACAAGAGAUCAGAGGGAUGAGUGGUGCAGCCAACUACAGGCCUUGAUAUCCAGAAGAACCACACCCAAUCAACAGCCAUCGCAGCCCUAUCGAGAGAGAACACGGACAGAUGCUACCUCCAAUAGAUCGGCCGUGUCUCGGACUCGGAAAGGAGCCGCCAUCACUGCCCCUGGCAACGUACAAGGGAUUUUUCACGAUGAGCUAGACAAAGUCGUUAAGAAGAGGGUCAAUCCACCAGAAUCUAUCAAGGAGACUGACGAGA